rnacentral:rRNA from 1 species
UUUUUAUUAACUUUUUCGGAAGGUAUGCUUAAAGAGGGGCUUGCGUCACAUUAGUUAGUUGGCAGGGUAAAGGCCUACCAAGACUAUGAUGUGUAGCUGGACUGAGAGGUUGAACAGCCACAUUGGGACUGAGACACGGCCCAAACUCCUACGGGAGGCAGCAGUAGGGAAUUUUCGGCAAUGGAGGAAACUCUGACCGAGCAACGCCGCGUGAACGAUGAAGUAUUUCGGUAUGUAAAGUUCUUUUAUUGAAGAAGAAAAAAUAGUGGAAAAACUAUCUUGACGAUAUUCAAUGAAUAAGCCCCGGCAAACUAUGUGCCAGCAGCCGCGGUAAUACAUAGGGGGCGAGCGUUAUCCGGAAUUAUUGGGCGUAAAGGGUGCGUAGGCGGUUUAAUAAGUCUAUAGUUUAAUUUCAGUGCUUAACACUGUCCUGCUAUAGAAACUAUUAGACUAGAGUGAGAUAGAGGCAAGUGGAAUUCCAUGUGUAGCGGUAAAAUGCGUAAAUAUAUGGAGGAACACCAGAGGCGUAGGCGGCUUGCUGGGUCUUUACUGACGCUGAGGCACGAAAGCGUGGGGAGCAAACAGGAUUAGAUACCCUGGUAGUCCACGCCGUAAACGAUGAGUACUAAGUGUCGGGAUUACUCGGUACUGAAGUUAACACAUUAAGUACUCCGCCUGAGUAGUACGUACGCAAGUAUGAAACUUAAAGGAAUUGACGGGACUCCGCACAAGCGGUGGAUCAUGUUGUUUAAUUUGAAGAUACACGAAAAACCUUACCAGGUCUUGACAUACUCUGCAAAGCUAUAGCAAUAUAGUGGAGGUUAUCAGAGAUACAGGUGGUGCAUGGUUGUCGUCAGCUCGUGUCGUGAGAUGUUAGGUUAAGUCCUAAAACGAGCGCAACCCUUGUCAUUAGUUGCCAGCAUGUCAUGAUGGGCACUUUAAUGAGACUGCCAAUGAAAAAUUGGAGGAAGGUGAGGAUCACGUCAAAUCAUCAUGCCCCUUAUGAUCUGGGCUACAAACGUGAUACAAUGGCUGUUACAAAGAGUAGCUGAAACGCAAGUUUAUAGCCAAUCUCAUAAAAGCAGUCUCAGUUCGGAUUGAAGUCUGCAACUCGACUUCAUGAAGUUGGAAUCGCUAGUAAUCGCGAAUCAGCAGCGCGGAACCCUCAAAAAAAAAAAAACCAUAC